rnacentral:misc_RNA from 1 species
GUUUUCAGAUUAAAAAAUCUUAAAAAUUUUUCCAAAGAGUGCAAAAAAACACCCAAGAGAAAAAAAUUAAAUAAAACUAGACAAUAACAAAAACAGGUGUUUUACAUUAACCGCCGGGCAAAACCUCCAAGUGCAAAAAACACCCGUAGGUCUUGGUGCUCCCGGCAAAAUACAAUAACAGUUCACAAAGGUGUAUGUUAGUCUUUAGCGGGGGGUAAAAUAAUGAAUUAUUUUACCCCCCAGACUAAACAAAAUUCGGUAAUGAUCCAACCGCAGGUUCACCUACGGUUA